GACGAACGCUGGCGGCGUGCCUAAUACAUGCAAGUUGAGCGAUGAAGAUUGGUGCUUGCACCAAUUUGAAGAGCAGCGAACGGGCGAGUAACGCGUGGGGAAUCUGCCUUUGAGCGGGGGACAACAUUUGGAAACGAAUGCUAAUACCGCAUAACAACUUUAAACAUAAGUUUUAAGUUUGAAAGAUGCAAUUGCAUCACUCAAAGAUGAUCCCGCGUUGUAUUAGCUAGUUGGUGAGGUAAAGGCUCACCAAGGCGAUGAUACAUAGCCGACCUGAGAGGGUGAUCGGCCACAUUGGGAAUGAGACACGGCCCAAACUCCUACGGGAGGCAGCAGUAGGGAAUCUUCGGCAAUGGACGAAAGUCUGACCGAGCAACGCCGCGUGAGUGAAGAAGGUUUUCGGAUCGUAAAACUCUGUUGGUAGAGAAGAACGUUGGUGAGAGUGGAAAGCUCAUCAAGUGACGGUAACUACCCAGAAAGGGACGGCUAACUACGUG
rnacentral:rRNA from 1 species